CCUACGGGGGGCAGCAGUGGGGAAUAUUGCACAAUGGGCGAAAGCCUGAUGCAGCGACGCCGCGUGAGCGAAGAAGUAUUUCGGUAUGUAAAGCUCUAUCAGCAGGGAAGAUAAUGACGGUACCUGACUAAGAAGCACCGGCUAAAUACGUGCCAGCAGCCGCGGUAAUACGUAUGGUGCAAGCGUUAUCCGGAUUUACUGGGUGUAAAGGGAGCGUAGGCGGCAUGGCAAGUCAGAAGUGAAAGCCUGGGGCUCAACCCCGGAAUUGCUUUUGAAACUGUCAGGCUAGAGUGUCGGAGGGGUAAGCGGAAUUCCUAGUGUAGCGGUGAAAUGCGUAGAUAUUAGGAGGAACACCAGUGGCGAAGGCGGCUUACUGGACGGUAACUGACGUUGAGGCUCGAAAGCGUGGGGAGCAAACAGGAUU
rnacentral:rRNA from 1 species